rnacentral:lncRNA from 1 species
GUGGUAUCCAAUUGUUUAGUAGCUACUAUCUUGUCUCAUCGCUACAACUCACGUACGGGCUCGGGAGAGACGAAGGUUGCAAGUCAUGCACAACCCAACCAAGCCGCACUGUCUUCAAGGGGCAGUGUUGUAUUUUGAGACAGGCUUGAAUAAUCUAAGCAGCCAAUAGGCAGAGGGUAGCAUAAUGUGUCUGAUUCUCUGUAAUAAUGGUAUGGGAAUAAUAAUGCUUUUCAUUUUGUAAAUUCGUUUCUUGCAUCAAACAACACAACAACAUGUUUAGUCACUUUGUCUGAAGGACAAGUGGAUUAACAGGUUAAUGUCAAGUCCUGCAUGUUUUUUUAAGUCUCAUGGAAUGCAGGUCUACAUUGAACACCACACAUUGACUGCUGCUGUAGGCUGAAUGAUUGAACAGCUAUUUCCAUGUUAAAAUGUGAUGUUGUUGAUGGUCAGGUCUGCUUGGAUACAGUACAUCAGGCAUGUAUUUGACUACCCACCCUGCCUUACCCUCUGAAUUGACCUUUAAUCCCGAUAUGUUGUUCAAGGCUGUGGGGAGCCCAUGGAGUGUGAGCCAGGAGUUCCUGGUGUUAAACAGGAGCCUUCAGGGAGCCCAUACAGGGAGCUGGGAGCAGAGGGUAUGGAGGAAGGCCUCCUCAAAGGAGUAGAAGAGACGGACGAGGGAAAGAAGAGGAAGAGAAAACCCUACAGACCAGGGAUUGGUGGCUUCAUGGUGCGUCAGAGAAAGUGUCACACACGGAUGAAGAAGGGUCUGUUCCCCCAUCUGUCUCAUCUGGCUGGAGACGGAACUGUUACGACAGCCAGACCGACAAGAGAGAAGCCUGCCCUAGAGGAAGGCAAGUUACAGAAGCCAUCUAAGUCAGAACAUUUCAGUGUUUGACCACUAUCUGUUAGAGGUCAAAAUCUAAUUUCUUCAAGGAAUAUGAUAAACCUUUGACGACCACUGCGGAAAUAAGUGUUUUCAUUCAUAUGUUUUAAUGUGUCAUCCUCCGGGAUUUAAAUGUUUAUAGUGUGGAUGUAUGAGUUAUUUGUAAUUAAUGUUCCCUCUAAGCUGAGCGCGGUAGCCCUGAGACUGCCACGCAGAAAUAUCAGCCCACAGAGAGAAGCAUGUGAUUCAACUUCACUCAACUUUCUAGAGCAGUGGUCACCAACCGGUCAAUUCCAUCCGACUGGUCGAUCUCCAAGGCAUUCCUAGUUGAUCUCCAAAUAUCUCUGUUAAAAAAGCAACGAUAAAGCCAUGUUCUUAUUUUUUGUUUUAUUCAUCUGUCUGGCAGUAGGUGCACCUGAUUCAGCUGCCCUGCGCACCGGGUCAGCCAACUGUUGACUUUUUCAACCAUUUCAUGUGUCUGAAGGUACAAACUCUGCCUUCCUGGUUGGCGCAGAU